AAGCAAAGGAAAUAUUGUUUACAUUCCUUCAAAAAUUUUCCUCUGCUUUUCACAUUUUGGGUGUUCAAAGUCAGGAAUGCUAAAAUGGCAUAAGAAUAUAUGUCAGUACUGAGUCAGAUCAAAUGCACAUCUAAUCCAAUAUUUUGUCUCUAACAGGGGCCAUAGAGAUGCCUAAGGAAAAAUGAAAAAACAGCAUGUGCGAUAUGAUGCUUCACAAACAUGAAAGCGAUUUACUUUCAUUGCUUAGGGUAUUUAUCAAGAUUUGAAGCAAAUGGAUGCCCGUCUUGCAGGAGAUAACAUCACCACCAGGUCCACAUGUCCCCCACGUGAACAACCAUUGAUUCUUCUGCUACAAUUUUUUGGUUGCUGA
rnacentral:lncRNA from 1 species